rnacentral:rRNA from 1 species
UACGUAGGGUGCAAGCGUUGUUCGGAAUUAUUGGGCGUAAAGCGCGUGUAGGUGGUUUUGCAAGUCAGAUGUGAAAGCCCUGGGCUCAACCCAGGAAGUGCAUCUGAAACUGCAUGGCUAGAGGACGGUAGGGGAAGGUGGAAUUCCUAGUGUAGAGGUGAAAUUCGUAGAUAUUAGGAGGAAUACCGGUGGCGAAAGCGGCCUUCUGGGCCGUUCCUGACACUGAGACGCGAAAGCGUGGGUAGCAAACAGGAUUAGAUACCCUCGUA